rnacentral:rRNA from 1 species
AGAGUUUGAUCAUGGCUCAGGAUAAACGCUGGCGGCGCACAUAAGACAUGCAAGUCGAACGAACUUAACCAUUAGUUUACUAUUGGAGCGGUUAGUGGCGGACUGGUGAGUAACACGUAAGCAACCUGCCUAUCAGAGGGGAACAACAGUUAGAAAUGACUGCUAAUACCGCAUAUGCCUUAGAAUCACAUGGUUCGAAAGGGAAAGGGA